UGCCAAGAAAACAUAUUUUCG
rnacentral:piRNA from 1 species